rnacentral:rRNA from 1 species
CCUACGGGACGCAGCAGUGGGGAAUAUUGCACAAUGGGGGAAACCCUGAUGCAGCGACGCCGCGUGAGCGAAGAAGUAUUUCGGUAUGUAAAGCUCUAUCAGCAGGGAAGAAAAAUGACGGUGCCUGAGUAAGAAGCACCGGCUAAAUACGUGCCAGCAGCCGCGGUAAUACGUAUGGUGCAAGCGUUAUCCGGAUUUACUGGGUGUAAAGGGUGCGCAGGCGGAGGUGCAAGUCAGCGGUCAAAUUGCGGGGCUCAACCCCGUACUGCCGU